CCAAGGAAGAAAUAGACUACUACAAAAACCAAAGGCAACAGAAAGAGGUACGUGCGUGUAUGGCUUCUCUUCGCUCUCCCCUUCCUUUCGUAUGUUUUUUCAUUUCUCUAUCCUAAUUC
rnacentral:ribozyme from 1 species